UACGUAGGGAGCAAGCGUUGUUCGGAUUUACUGGGCGUAAAGGGCGCGUAGGCGGCCAGCACAAGUCAGUUGUGAAAUCUCCGGGCUUAACUCGGAAAGGUCAACUGAUACUGUGCGGCUAGAGUGCAGAAGGGGCAACUGGAAUUCUCGGUGUAGCGGUGAAAUGCGUAGAUAUCGAGAGGAACACCUGCGGCGAAGGCGGGUUGCUGGGCUGACACUGACGCUGAUGCGCGAAAGCGUGGGGAGCAAACAGG
rnacentral:rRNA from 1 species